AACGCGAAGAACCUUACCUGGGCUCGAACGGCUGGUCAACGGCGGUGGAAACACCGCUACCCCGCAAGGGGGUCCAGUCGAGGUGCUGCAUGGCUGUCGUCAGCUCGUGUCGUGAGAUGUUGGGUUAAGUCCCGCAACGAGCGCAACCCUUGUCCUGUGUUGCCAUCAUUCAGUUGGGAACUCGCAGGAGACCGCCAGCGAUAAGCUGGAGGAAGGUGGGGAUGACGUCAAGUCCUCAUGGCCUUUAUGUCCAGGGCUACACACGUGCUACAAUGGCCGGUACAAUGCGUCGCUAACCCGCGAGGGGGAGCCAAUCGCAAAAAACCGGUCUCAGUUCGGAUUGCAGGCUGCAACCCGCCUGCAUGAAGCUGGAAUCGCUAGUAAUGGCAGAUCAGCACGCUGCCGUGAAUACGUUCCCGGGCCUUGUACACACCGCUACAGU
rnacentral:rRNA from 1 species